rnacentral:lncRNA from 1 species
GUUUGGUGGUGUUGGAAAUCUAUUUCGGCAUUACAUAUAUAUGGAGUAGGGCUGCUGUGUUGUUAGGAGCGCAGCAAUUCUUGUGCUCUUUAGUUUCUAGCUAUUUAUUAAUUUUGAUGAGUGACUAGGAUGAGAGUAAGAAGAGAAAUUGGGGAUAUAUUCACAGAGAAAAAAAAUUGAAACCCCCAAUUGCUUCUCAAUUUCUCUUCUCUCUCAAAUCUUAACUGCCAUCAAAAUUAAUGAAUGAUUAAAAACUUAGGAGCACACAGGCUGAUGUACGUACUCCUAAUAACACAGUAGCCUAUAGCCCUGUUAUAUAUAGAGAGAGAGAGAGAGUUGAGCUAGAAUAUACCUAGAAGGAUCAACCUCUUGGUGCUUCUAGAUUUCUAACCUUUAGAUCUACCCUUUGACUACUAAUAGAUUUUGGAUUGAAUUUUAUUUCACCUACCACCAUCAUCCUACCCUUAUAUCACUCCAUACAAAGGCUAUAAACCCAAAAGUAUCAACCCCUUGAUACUUUUGGAAAUAUUCUAACUCAAUUCUCUCUCUCU